ACUGAACGCUGGCGGCGUGCCUAACACAUGCAAGUCGAGCGGUAACAGGUGUAGCAAUACAUGCUGACGAGCGGCGGACGGGUGAGUAACGCUUGGGAAUCUGCCUAUUAGUGGGGGACAACCCGGGGAAACUCGGGCUAAUACCGCAUACGCUCUACGGAGGAAAGCCGGGGACCGCAAGGCCUGGCGCUAAUAGAUGAGCCCAAGUCGGAUUAGCUAGUUGGUAGGGUAAUGGCCUACCAAGGCGACGAUCCGUAACUGGUCUGAGAGGACGACCAGUCACACCGGAACUGAGACACAGUCCGGACUCCUACGGGAGGCAGCAGUGGGGAAUAUUGGACAAUGGGCGAAAGCCUGAUCCAGCGACGCCGCGUGGGUGAAGAAGGCCUGCGGGUU
rnacentral:rRNA from 1 species